GUCGUGAGAUGUUGGGUUAAGUCCCGCAACGAGCGCAACCCUCGUCCAAUGUUGCCAGCGGGUAAUGCCGGGGACUCAUUGGAGACUGCCGGGGUCAACUCGGAGGAAGGUGGGGAUGACGUCAAGUCAUCAUGCCCCUUAUGUCUUGGGCUGCAAACAUGCUACAAUGGCCGGUACAAAGGGCUGCGAACCUGUGAGGGUAAGCGAAUCCCGGAAAGCCGGUCUCAGUUCGGAUCGGGGUCUGCAACUCGGCCCCGUGAAGCCGGAGUCGCUAGUAAUCGCGGAUCAGCAACGCCGCGGUGAAUACGUUCCCGGGCCUUGUACACACCGCCCGUCACGUCACGAAAGUUGGCAACACCCGAAGCCGGCGGCCUAACCCGUAAGGGAGGGAGCUGUCGAAGGUGGGGUUGGCGAUUGGGACGAAGUCGUAACAAGGUAGCCGUACCGGAAGGUGCGGCUGGAUCACCUCCUUUCUAAGGAGCACCGGCGCCUCUAGUCACCGAAUGCGUGACUGGGCGUCCAUGCUUUCUAGUGGAGCACUGGUUAUUCACUCAGCUGGCGCGCGAAAGCGCGGUUAGUACGCUUCUCACUUCGGUGAGUUCGCGGAACGAGCGCAUGGAACGUAAGGCUGAGUGAGCACGCUGUUGGGUCCUGAGGAAGCGGCCGCUUCGCUUAGGGCUAGCCGACUCGAACGGCCUGUCAUCGCGGAUCUCCGGAUGGAGAUCCGCGAUACAUGGUUCCGUCCGUAUCUUGAGAACUACACAGUGGACGCGAGCAUCUUCUGGCGAACCUCUUAUGAGGUUCGUUCUGCAGUUUGCAUGUAGUGCAUGCAGUGUCAAGUUUUUAAGAGCAUACGGUGGAUGUCUUGGCACCAGGAGCCGAUGAAGGACGUUGGAGCCUGCGAUAAGCCUCGAGGAGCCGGCAACCGGGCUGUGAUUCGAGGAUUU
rnacentral:sRNA from 1 species